CCUACGGGUGGCAGCAGUGAGGAAUAUUGGUCAAUGGGCGAGAGCCUGAACCAGCCAAGUCGCGUGAAGGAUGACGGCCCUACGGGUUGUAAACUUCUUUUGUCAGGGAGCAAUUGGGUCCACGCGUGGGCUUCUCUAUAGUACCUGAAGAUAAAGCAUCGGCUACCUCCGUGCCAGCAGCCGCGGUACUACGGAGGAUGCGGGCGUUAUCCGGAUUUAUUGGGUUUAAAGGGUGUGUAGGUGGAAGAUCAAGUCAGCGGUAAGAAUUCGGGGCUCAACCUCGUCGUGCAGUUGAAACUGAUGGUUUUGAGUGGGCGAGAAGGAGGCGGAAUGCGUGGUGUAGCGGUGAAAUGCAUAGAUAGCACGCAGAACUCCGAUUGCGAAGGCAGCAUACCGGAGACCAACUGACGCUGAAGCACGAAAGCGUGGGUAUCGAACAGGAUUAGAUACCCCAGUAGUC
rnacentral:rRNA from 1 species